GUAGGGAAUAUUGCACAAUGGAGGAAACUCUGAUGCAGCGACGCCGCGUGAGUGAUGAAGGACUUCGGUUUGUAAAGCUCUGUUGUUAGGGAAUAAAAAAAUGAAUGUACCUGACGAGAAAGGACCGGCUAACUUCGUGCCAGCAGCCGCGGUAAUACGAAGGGUCCAAGCGUUGUUCGGAAUCAUUGGGCGUAAAGCGAGUGCGGGUGGCUUCUUAAGUCAGGAGUGAAAGCCCAGAGCUUAACUCUGGAAGUGCUUUUGAUACUGGGAAGCUUGAAUGUGGUAGAGGAUGCUAGAAUACCUAAUGUAGUGGUGAAAUACGUAGAUAUUAGGUGGAACACCGGUGGCGAAGGCGGGCAUCUGGACCAACAUUGACACUUAGACUCGAAAGCGUGGGGAUCAAACAGGAUUAGAAACCCCAGUAGUCC
rnacentral:rRNA from 1 species